rnacentral:rRNA from 1 species
CCUACGGGGGGCAGCAGUGAGGAAUAUUGGUCAAUGGCCGAGAGGCUGAACCAGCCAAGUCGCGUGAGGGAAGACGGCCCUACGGGUUGUAAACCUCUUUUGUCGGGGAGAAAAGCGAGUCCCGUGUGCCUCAUUGAGAGUACCCGAAGAAAAAGCAUCGGCUCACUCCGUGCCAGCAGCCGCGGUAAUACGGAGGAUGCGAGCGUUAUCCGGAUUUAUUGGGUUUAAAGGGUGCGCAGGCGGAGGUGCAAGACAGCGGUCAAAUUGCGGGGCUAAACCCCGUACUGCCGUUGAAACUGCAGCCCUUGAGUGCGCGAGAAGUAUGCGGAAUGGGUGGGGUAGCGGUGAAAUGCAU